GGGGUUCUGACUCAGUGGUAGAGCGCUUGCCUAGCAAGCAUGAGGCACUGGGUUCGAUUCUCAGCACCA
rnacentral:tRNA from 1 species